rnacentral:rRNA from 1 species
CCUACGGGAGACUGCAGUAGGGAAUCUUUCACAAUGGGCGAAAGCCUGAUGCAGCAACGCCGCGUGCAGGAUGAAGGCCUUCGGGUUGUAAACUGCUUUUAUAAGCGAGAAAUAUGAUGGUAACUUAUGAAUAAGGAUCGGCUAACUACGUGCCAGCAGCCGCGGUCAUACGUAGGAGCCGAGCAUUAUCCGGAGUGACUGGGUGUAAAGAGUUGCGUAGGUGGCAUAAUAAGUAGCUAGUGAAAUCUGGUGGCUCAACCAUUCAGACUAUUAGCUAAACUGUUGAGCGCGAGACCGUUAGGGGUAAGUGGAAUGUCUAGUGUAGGGGUGAAAUGCGUAGAUAUCAGAAGGAACACCAAUAGCGUAGGCAGGUUGCUGGGACGGUUCUGACACUAAGGCACGAAAGCGUAGGGAGCAAACGGGAUUAGAUACCCGUGUAGUC